UACAUGGGGGUGCAAACGUUGCUCGGAAUCAUUGGGCGUAAAGAGCUCGUAGGCGGCUCAGCAAGUCGGGUGUGAAACCUCCAGGCUCAACCUGGAGACGCCACUCGAUACUGCUGUGGCUAGAGUCCGGAAGAGGAGAGUGGAAUUCCUGGUGUAGCGGUGAAAUGCGCAGAUAUCAGGAAGAACACCAAUGGCGAAAGCAGCUCUCUGGGACGGUACUGACGCUGAGACGCGAAAGCGUGGGGAGCGAACAGG
rnacentral:rRNA from 1 species